rnacentral:rRNA from 1 species
AACGAACGCUGGCGGCAGGCCUAACACAUGCAAGUCGAGCGAGGACUUCGGUCCUAGCGGCGGACGGGUGAGUAACGCGUGGGAACGUGCCCUUUGCUUCGGAAUAGCCCUGGGAAACUGGGAGUAAUACCGGAUGAGCCCUUUGGGGGAAAGAUUUAUCGGCGUAGGAUCGGCCCGCGUUGGAUUAGGUAGUUGGUGGGGUAAUGGCCUACCAAGCCGACGAUCCAUAGCUGGUAUGAGAGGAUGAUCAGCCACACUGGGACUGAGACACAGCCCAGACUCCGACGGAAGGCAGCAGUGGGGAAUCUUAGACAAUGAGGGAAACCCUGAUCAAGCCAUGCCGCGUGAGCGAUGAAGGCCUUAGGGUUGUAAAGCUCUUUCAGCUGGGAAGAUAAUGACGGUACCAGCAGAAGAAGCCCCGGCUAACUCCGUG